rnacentral:rRNA from 1 species
UUUAAAUGUAAAAUACAAGACCUAAUUAUUAAUAGUUAUGAUCUUUAAAUUUAAAGGAUUUGGCGGUGUUUUAGUCUAUUUAGAGGAACCUGUUCUAUAAUUGAUAGUCCACGAUUUAUUAUACUUACUUUAUUAGUUUAUAUAUCGUCGUAGUUUGAAUAUUUUAAGAGAAUUUUAAUGUUCAGGAUUCUUUAUAAGGAAGGAAAUCAGAUCAAGGUGUAGCUUAUAAGUGAGUAGAAAUGGGUUACAAUAAAUUUAUUUAUAUGGAUUAGGGAUUUGAAAAGUCUCUGUGAAAGUGGAUUUAAAAGUAAUAAAGUUAAAUUUAAUUUUAUGAUUUUAGCUCUAAAACAUGU